CUACGCAGGUGACAAGCGUUAUCCGGAUUUACUGGGCGUAAAGGGCGUGUAGGCGGUCUUGCAAGUCAGAAGUGAAAUUCCUGAGCUCAACUCGGGCGCUGCUUCUGAAACUGCAGGACUUGAGUGCUGGAGGGGAUAGCGGAAUUCCUAGUGGAGCGGUAAAAUGCGCAGAUAUUAGGAAGAACACCGGUGGCGAAGGCGGUUAUCUGGACAGUAACUGACGCUGAGGCGCGAAAGCGUGGGGAGCAAACAGGAUUAGAUACCCUGGUAGUCCACGCCGUAAACGACGAAUACUAGGUGUAGGGGGUAUCGACUCCCUCUGUGCCGCAGUUAACACAAUAAGUAUUCCGCCUGGGGAGUACGGCCGCAAGGUUGGAACUCAAAUGAAUUGACGGGG
rnacentral:rRNA from 1 species